UUGGGGAGCGGAGCAGAUAUUCCUCUCACAGGUUAUGGAUUAAGGAGUCAGCAGAUGUGCUCAUGCUGCUGAGCACACCUGAUGAAGGCCUCUGCCUCUCCACAAAGUGCCUGGGAGGGCCCAGUCCCCUGGGUCUGAUGUUCUCUGCAGCGAGGUGUCCUGGACACUCAUAGUGUCCCCCUGCUGCUCUUGGAGGCUGCUCCAGCCCAUGCAAUUGAGUGCCAUGCUGGGAUGAUGAGGAGCAACCUCCGUGUUGGUAGAAGAGGAGUGAACAAGUCAGCAAAAGACAGAGGAAGGCGCUGGGGGAAAGAGACAGAGGUUGGAGCAGGUGUGCUGCUCUGGUGAUAAGGAGCUGACUCACUUGGUGAUGCCGGGUGUGCCUUGAGAGCACGCCUGCCCUCCUGGAGGUCCGCACUAGGAUCCUGCACCCGCCUGCUGCACAGACCUAGUCUGAGUGCUGCAUCACUUGGGCCCAGCUGCCAUGGUGGUCUCUGUAUCCUCCCAACACCCCAGCGGGGACCGCAGAGCCCACCCAGCCCUCACAGGCCUGUCUAUGGGGCGGGCCACUCCUCUGUGGGAGCUCCCGUGACAGCCUCCAGCAGGCACAGACAGUAACCACAGAUGAUCUAAGACACGCUUGGCAUCGCUCCCAAGUCAGCCCAGGAGCUGCAUGCCUGUGUGGCAUCCAGCCUCCCCCAGGACCACCCGGGCUUAGAGGCUGACUUAUGGCCUUGCGAGUGUGAUGAGCGCUUGCUCCUUCCCAGGAGCUUGAGAGACAGCAUCAGAUCCAGGUGGGAGAGACACCGAGAGGUCCCUGCUCCGGCGCAGGCCGGUAUGAGGAGGUGGAGCUGGGCUUGAAGCUUCCCACAGCGCUCCCAGCGCACCUCCCGCAGAGCAGUGCACGGCGGUAGGACCGGGUGGGAACAAAUCACCUCUGGAGACGAGGUGGGACAAGUCCCUUCCCUUUCUGUACUGUUAAUCCGCAUGCAGGGACUCCAAGUGGACCGCGGGCGGGGGCAGCUCUGGCUGGAGAGGCAGCUGAGCUCCCGGAGUCUGGGGCCAUUGAGGCUGCAUGAAGGAUCACUUUCCGCAUGGGUGGUGAGAAUCCAUGCCGGCUGAAUUGCAGUGAGUCGCCGUGAGUAAACGCGAACUUGUAUGCGUCUG